rnacentral:snRNA from 1 species
GUGCUCACUUCGGCAGCACAGGUACUGAAACUGGAAAGACACAGAGAGCAGCAAGGCCCUGUGCAGGAUGACGUGCAAACUUGCAAAGCUUGAUUUGUUCAG